rnacentral:sRNA from 1 species
UAGGAAAACUAAAAUAUACGAUACAGGG